CCUACGGGGGGCUGCAGUGGGGAAUAUUGCACAAUGGGCGAAAGCCUGAUGCAGCAACGCCGCGUGAGCGAUGAAGGUCUUCGGGUCGUAAAGCUCUGUCCUAAGGGAAGAAUACUGACGGUACCUUAGGAGGAAGCCCCGGCUAACUACGUGCCAGCAGCCGCGGUAAUACGUAGGGAGAUAGCGUCAUCCGGAAUUACUGGGCGUAAAGGGUGCUUAGGCGGCCCGUCAAGUCAGAGGUGAAAGGUUACGGCUCAACCGUAGUAAGCCUUUGAAACUGUAGGGCUUGAGUGCAGGAGAGGAGAGAAGAAAGGCCAGUGUAGCGGUGAAAUGCGUAGAUAGUGGGAGUAACAACAGUUGCGAAGGCGGCUCUCUGGACUGUAACUGACGCUGAGGCACGAAAGUGUGGGGUGCGAACAGGAUUAGAUACCCGUGUAGUC
rnacentral:rRNA from 1 species